UUCCUGUACUUGGUGUUACUGCGAAGGGGGGACGGAGAAGGCUAUGUUGGCCGGGCGACGGUUGUCCCGGUUUAAGCGUGUAGGCUGGUUUUCCAGGCAAAUCCGGAAAAUCAAGGCUGAGGCGUGAUGACGAGGCACUACGGUGCUGAAGCAACAAAUGCCCUGCUUCCAGGAAAAGCCUCUAAGCAUCAGGUAACAUCAAAUCGUACCCCAAACCGACACAGGUGGUCAGGUAGAGAAUACCAAGGCGCUUGAGAGAACUCGGGUGAAGGAACUAGGCAAAAUGGUGCCGUAACUUCGGGAGAAGGCACGCUGAUAUGUAGGUGAAGCGACUUGCUCGUGGAGCUGAAAUCAGUCGAAGAUACCAGCUGGCUGCAACUGUUUAUUAAAAACACAGCACUGUGCAAACACGAAAGUGGACGUAUACGGUGUGACGCCUGCCCGGUGCCGGAAGGUUAAUUGAUGGGGUUAGCGCAAGCGAAGCUCUUGAUCGAAGCCCCGGUAAACGGCGGCCGUAACUAUAACGGUCCUAAGGUAGCGAAAUUCCUUGUCGGGUAAGUUCCGACCUGCACGAAUGGCGUAAUGAUGGCCAGGCUGUCUCCACCCGAGACUCAGUGAAAUUGAACUCGCUGUGAAGAUGCAGUGUACCCGCGGCAAGACGGAAAGACCCCGUGAACCUUUACUAUAGCUUGACACUGAACAUUGAGCCUUGAUGUGUAGGAUAGGUGGGAGGCUUUGAAGUGUGGACGCCAGUCUGCAUGGAGCCGACCUUGAAAUACCACCCUUUAAUGUUUGAUGUUCUAACGUUGACCCGUAAUCCGAAUUGCGGACAGUGUCUGGUGGGUAGUUUGACUGGGGCGGUCUCCUCCUAAAGAGUAACGGAGGAGCACGAAGGUUGGCUAAUCCUGGUCGGACAUCAGGAGGUUAGUGCAAUGGCAUAAGCCAGCUUGACUGCGAGCGUGACGGCGCGAGCAGGUGCGAAAGCAGGUCAUAGUGAUCCGGUGGUUCUGAAUGGAAGGGCCAUCGCUCAACGGAUAAAAGGUACUCCGGGGAUAACAGGCUGAUACCGCCCAAGAGUUCAUAUCGACGGCGGUGUUUGGCACCUUGAUGUCGGCUCAUCACAUCCUGGGGCUGAAGUAGGUCCCAAGGGUAUGGCUGUUCGCCAUUUAAAGUGGUACGCGAGCUGGGUUUAGAACGUCGUGAGACAGUUCGGUCCCUAUCUGCCGUGGGCGCUGGAGAACUGAGGGGGGCUGCUCCUAGUACGAGAGGACCGGAGUGGACGCAUCACUGGUGUUCGGGUUGUCAUGCCAAUGGCACUGCCCGGUAGCUAAAUGCGGAAGAGAUAAGUGCUGAAAGCAUCUAAGCACGAAACUUGCCCCGAGAUGAGUUCUCCCUGACUCCUUGAGAGUCCUGAAGGAACGUUGAAGACGACGACGUUGAUAGGCCGGGUGUGUAAGCGCAGCGAUGCGUUGAGCUAACCGGUACUAAUGAACCGUGAGGCUUAACCUU
rnacentral:rRNA from 1 species